AGGUCACAACUUUUUUGUUUUACCAAUCACCAAUCACCAAAAUUUGGAUAGUGCAGGCGUUUCUGUUCCCUUUCAAGAGAUAAUUGAUAUGGAUGAUGGAACAUAUGAGGCUAUUGCAGGAAGUGACUUUGUCAUUACUAGAGUUGCAUUUCGAGACAACUCUUUAAAGUACUACAUAAAUGACCGUGGAAGUAAUUUUACAGAGGUCACUAAGAAAUUGAAAGGAAAAGGAGUGGACUUGGACAACAAUCGGUUUUUUAUUCUUUAAGGUGAAGUUGAGCAAAUUUCUCUAAUGAAGCCAAAGGCCAGGAUGAAGGAUGUACCAGCUGGCCAUAUGCGAGUGCACAC